UGGGGUAUGAUGAUUCUUUCCCCAGUUGAUCGCAAGUGAACAUUCUGUUCUCUAUAAUUCUCUUUGGAGAAUCAAGCCAGAACUCUGAUUCUC
rfam:Zea mays cultivar B73 chromosome 8, whole genome shotgun sequence.